UCCUGGUCACCUAGGGUGACAUAUUGAAGUAACUCCAAUGCUAUCUUUGCCAGGAAUGUGAUAUCAUUGUUUUUUGGAUUUUUAUCCAUUGGUUGAAUGUAGGACUGUGUACUACCACAGAGGGUGGGAAAAAAAACCUCCAUCUGCAUCCAAGGUAAGUUUGAAUGGUUCCCAGUGAUUAUAAACUUAUUGUCAGAAUCGCUGUGUGCAGCUAGACCUACCUACAUCAGGCAUCUAUUUUAGAACUGAGAUAUCUCCAAAUUAAUUCUUAUUUUAUUAAUAGACAAAAGGAAUGCACUAAUUUGAAACCCAUGCACACAUUCAUAAAAUCCAAUGAUCAUCAAAUCAAUUGUUGAGAACUUGAAGCGCUAAAUUUAGGGAAUAAUGUAUUAGUUCAUUGACAUAAUUCACAAUUGUCGGUGUAUGUUGACAAUAAACACAGGCUGACAUUUGGCCAGGUGUGUUAUUGUUUUGAAAUUCUCCAUGACAAUGUGCUUCCCUAUAGCACAUAACAAGGGACGCCGAUAAUGCUCUAGCAUUGCUCACCAGUACUGCCCCAGGUGUCACAAGAUUUAAAAAUGUUUUCUUUGAAAAAUUUGUUGGCAUGUACAACCCAAUAUGAUCAUAUAUACCCUUCAUUUCUCUCUGUAACUUCCUCCUUAUACUUCCCCAUACUUCCCCUCAUAAAUCCAUAUCUUUAAAAUAUAAUUGACUAAGUUCAGUUAGUGAUGCCUGGUGCAUGAAUAUGGAGCAAUUACUGUAGUGUGGGAAACCAUUCAGUGACUACACCCUAAAAAUAAAAUGAUUCUUCUUCUUUCUGUGAUUAUCCAUUGCCAAUAGCUCCUCAGUCAGGGGUGGGGCCUGCAGAUCAUCUACCUUAUCUAUGCCAGAGUUUUAGAUGGUUUGAUCUUGUGUAUGCAACCAUGACAGCUGUCAAUUCCUGAGUGAGACAGACUGUCAUGUCCAGAAGACAGCACCUCAUAAUAUUCCUCUUUAUCUAUCAGCUCUCUCAUUCUUUCUGCCUCUACUUCCAGGCUUUUCUCUGCACCUUGGUGGUGGCUCUGUUUAGAUAUUCUGUUUAAGGCUGAGCACCCAGUCUCUCAUUCUCAGCACCUGAUGAGUUAUGCAUCUCUGCAAUGACUGCCGUCCACCGCAAAAAGAUAUUUCUCUGAUCAAGGUUGAGAGCAGCCCAGGUCAAUGGGCAGAAAUACAAAUACUUAGAAGGUGAUUUGCCACAGAAUCUUCAUGCAUGGAUUCACGAGCUAAACAAGGGAGAGAGAAUAACAGACAUAAACAGGAAGACCAUUGUUUCCUGCUUUGCACAGAUGGAGGAAGCUGAAUCGUCCAAUCCCAUGUUCAUCACCCUUUUCCUUGUUUCUUCAUUUCAAGCCCAUAGUGACUGCCCUCUGUGAUCAUUUGUUUUUAUAAAGAAUUUAAGAAAUGAAUAUUUUCUCACUGUGCUAUGUGGUCUUUGUUUCCUCUCUAAAUCCACAUGUUGAAAGCCCCAGAGUGAUAGGUAGUAUUUGGAGGAGGACUCUCUGGGAGAUGAUGAGAUAGGAGUGUGGAGCCCUGAAGGGAGGGAUUAGUGCCCUUAUAAAGCAGAUCCCAAGGAGCUUAAUUCUCUUCUAUUGUCAGAACCAGAAAAAUGGACCUCCAAAGACACUGAAUCUGUCUUGACCUCAAAGUUCUCAACUUUUAGAACUGUGAGUAAAGAAAUGUUUCCUGUUUCAGCCUUUCAGCUGUAACACUGGCUGGAGCCAAUGAAGACACAGCCACUAGAGUUUUGUAAUGCUCAACUGGGUAGAGCAGUUGACAGGUGAGUUAAGAAGUAUAUAAACUAAAAGACCAAAACAAAGAAACCUCUGAAGAUCAUGUUCCCAAGUGGUUACUUUUCACCCAACAGCCAUGGACUGAGUUCCACACAAAUCUUUUGGGGCCCCUGUUGUGUCCUGAGAGCCAUUGUUAUGAAAAUUUUAUUUCUCACACAAACGAGCUCUUAAGUUGUUUUCAAAGUUACUUUCGCAAUUACUCUUUGCAUUUUAAGUAAUGAAAUUAAUCUAAUUUAAAUACUCUUUUUAAUGGCAAGCCUAUUGCAUGUCUACAUUGAUUUUUCUCAUUUCCAUAUUAUUCUCAAUCUCAUUUCAGCCUGCUUCCCUUGUCAUUGCUAUUGUUUAUUCUGAUGGUUGUAACAUUUUAUUUAUUUUUAUUGAAGUUGACAAUUUUUAAUCGUAUAAGUGUAUGGGACAAAAAUGACAUUAUGAUUUAUGAAUUUAAUGUAUAAUAAAGAAAGAAGUUAGUUAACAUAUCUGUCAUCUCAAAUGUUGGAUAUAUUUUGCUAUGAAGUCAUUUAAAAUUUAUUGUCUUAGCAAGUCUCAAAUGUAUUCUAUUAUUAAUUAUAUUCUGCAUAUUGGGACACAAAGUGAUGUUAUGAUUUAUAGACACAUUGUGGGACAAUGAAACCAAGCUAGUAAGCAUAGCUGUCAGUUACCUCAAAUAAUGAACAUGUUUUGUCAUGAGAAUAUUUAAAAUUUACUCUCUGCAAGUUUGAAAUGUGAACACUCUAUUAUCAAUGCUCUUCAGUGUGUUGCUGAAUAGAGAUGAAGACAAACAAAACAUGUUUCUCCUGAUUGAGGUCUUAUACCCUCCUGCUAUCAUUUCCCUGGUUUUGAAUGGCAGUAUUAAAUAUGUUCGAAUAGAAAAUUCUAGGUGCCACACCAACUCCAGUGUCGUCCGUGUGACAUUAACAAUUAUGUCAAUAGCAGCGGACGGGAGAUACGUGUCCCAUGGGACUAAGCUCCCUGGAGGUCCCUGGCAGAGUGCCUGCAUUAUGCUUCCUUCUCAGAGAAGAUGUACUUCACAGAUCAUGAGCUCCCUGGGCUAUGGAUUCUGUAUAACUGCUUUUCUGAUAAUGUUCUAAUUAAUCUAUGAAGCACAGCCAAAAUUAAUGAAUGCUCGGGUUGUGAACUAUGGAGGAAAGGGGAAGCUGAACAUGGAUCUUAACCAGAUAUAGCAGAGUGAGCUAUUUCUUAAAGACCCCAAGCCGCUAGAUAAAGAAAGUAUAAAGGUUCAGGCACUUCUAGGGAAUGAACACUCACCCACUAGGAAUCCUUUAAGAAUUCCAACUAAAGUGGCUUAUGGUAGAAAACGUUAUCUCAUAGGAGGCAGAUGAUGGGCCUCUCUGUUGAGGAAGUUCAGCAUGGGAAACUUAAGGACUACAGCAGAACCCCUUCCCCUUACAGGUGAAAAAGUACAAGAGUCCAUAUUCCAGCAGGCAAAAAGGUUUUAUGUUAAAAGAGAUAUGUGGUGGAAGAACUGAAGAAAGACUUAGAGCGGGUCUACAGCAUCCAAAUUGGCUAAGUGGGUCAUGAAAACCAAAAAAGUAAAAACGUAUAAUAAACUAAAAAACUGCUGAGAUAAGAUAAAGGACACAGCUACAACUGCAAGAAGUCUACACAAAUCUGGGGACUGUAUUAAGUUUAAAAAACACAGACUGCUCUUUGGGUCAUAAAGUUCUUGUGAGUGAAGGGAUAUGUCUAGCACCGAUUAAUAAUUAUGUACUUGCUGUUUUUUAAAGAUGAUGUAAUUGAAUUAUUGCCAAGUUCUUGUUGUUCCUUGUAUGACUUGAUAGUUUUCUUUUCUGUAUAUAAACUACUGAUUUGCAGAAGUAAAAUUGCAACAGAUUCAAACCA